AUGUUUUGAAGAUCUGUAUUGCAGAUGCUUCAUCAGUUUGUAAGACAUGAGUCCAAAAUAUCCAGCAGUUUGGUUUUUGAAAGAUCUCUGAAUCAUGUGCAGUUACUUUGGCAAGUGGGCCAAGACCCUGUGAUUUAAUAGUUGGGGGAAAAAAAAUCUAGUCACCACAUUUUCUCUGCCCACAAAUGAGAUAUGGCAAUCAAGGGAAAGUGAGGUAUACGAAAUGGGUGCUUAGAUGGGUUAAUUUACUUGUUAAUAUUAGGGAAAUAAUGUACAGUACUAAAGAGCUAAUUAGGAAGAUGAUUAUUAGGGUAUGACCAUGAAAGGAAAGGAGUUUUUCUAUAAUAGGUGACGUAGUGUCUUGAAAUCCUAGCUGAAAUGGAUACGCCAGUCAAAAGUCAACACGGCGCAGAACAUCAGUAUUCCUACCCAGCCUGAGAGGUGUGGCACAUCAGUAUAUGAAAAAGAGGUCUAGAAUUUAUGUGGGAAGGAAGUAAACUAUGGUGAAUACUUGGAUACAAAUAACAUGAGGCAGCAAUCAUAGCUGAUAACAUUAUAUUUCUGAGGGACCAGACAAAAGAGAAGGCGUAG
rnacentral:lncRNA from 1 species